GGCAUAGGCGCGUGUCUUCGGUCAGUGCUCUAUUUCCAGCUCGUCGGCUUUGGGUCGGAUCACGACUGCAGGCCGAUGCCGCGCUUAUCUGUUUGCGCGUGACCAUUCAUCUCUGCAACCCACGAGAGAAAUGGCGACUCCGGCGACAUCUGUGGUUUUCAGGAGUGAACAAAUCUACAACACUGGAGGGGGAAGAGCUGCUGACAGGAGUAACUUUUACUUUAGGAAACUCAGAUGAGAUGUGAUCCCCAGCGUUUGGCGCUGAGAUUCUUCAGGACAAAGGCCUUGAUGCCAUGAAGAUGGGUCUCUGGGAUCCCCAGCUGAAGGCAUGAAGACAUCAGAUCUUGGCCUGGACAGAUGUACCAACAGUACACCACACUGACCUCUGCUUUUGCAUGGAUGGCUGAUUACUACCAUGUUCUGAGAGGGUAUUACUAUAGCAAAACUGAGCACCUGUGACACUGGGAUUUCUAGUUGUAAAGAAUAAUCACACAGUGUUUUUUAGAAGUUGCAAACUUUUCUCUCUCUUACAAACACAACAGUUAAACCUUUUCAAAUUCUUUUCUGGUGGUGCACAAAUCCUAUUCUUCGAAACAGAAAUUAAGAUAUUCAUAUGCUCACAUUUAAGCUGUAGACACACGACUUUGAGCAUGCAAAAUUUCUUCAGACACUGUAACUGGCGUGAUAUGACGUCUGCGGAGUAUUUUUAAAAACAUGAAUUCAACAUUUAACAAAUAGUAUAUUCAAAAUAUAAAAAUAUACAGUCUACUCGACUUUACUACAUUUUUUUUUUUUUUUAAUUUAGCCAAGAGGUCACACCUUCAUGUAGCGAUUUUGUACUCUUUACACAUAGUCGUUUGAUGUGAAUUCGCAGGUCAGAGUUCCAAACCAAACUUUUUGCAUGAGCUUGCGUUUCUGGUCUCCUGCAUUUGUGUGCAUAUGAAUGGAGGUCAAUGGAAUGAAAAGUGUAGUGUGACCGCACCUUUAUUCUACAGUUGCGGUACACCUGUAUCAAAAGUGUGAAGUCAUGGACAGAUUUUAUUUGUGAACUGAUAUGCGAGAUCUCACAUAUGACACAUCAGUAUGUGACAUCCCACUCAAACACGUGCUUUAUCCAGUGAUAAACAUGUUCUUGUCGUUAUUAAUCAAUCAGUAAUCAACACAGCACCACCCCGAAAUUGCCUUGCACUGUAGAAUUAUGGUUUUGGCAAGAAAUGAAAAAUAGCCAAUUAUUUAUUAUAAAUGCUACUAUUUUACAAUUAAUAUUUAAGACUAUGUUAGAGAGGGAUAGAAGCCAUUUUUAUGGAUGAUAGGAUUUUUUCAUUACAGGUCAU